rnacentral:rRNA from 1 species
ACCUGCCGUCUACUCUUGGCCAGCCUUCUGAAAGGAAGAUUAAUCCAGGAUGGGAUCAUGAGUUCACAUGUCCGCAUGAUUAAAGGUAUUUUCCGGUAGACGAUGGGGAUGCGUUCCAUUAGAUAGUAGGCGGGGUAACGGCCCACCUAGUCAACGAUGGAUAGGGGUUCUGAGAGGAAGGUCCCCCACAUUGGAACUGAGACACGGUCCAAACUCCUACGGGAGGCAGCAGUGAGGAAUAUUGGUCAAUGGGCGAUGGCCUGAACCAGCCAAGUAGCGUGAAGGAUGACUGCCCUAUGGGUUGUAAACUUCUUUUAUAAAGGAAU